AGGUAAGGUUAUUAUUAGGGCAGGUGUCUUAGGCUUGCAUUUUACACACAUUGUCAUCCCAGUUUUCACUGCUGGUGUGUGGCUUGAUCUAGGCUUGCUGUUCCUGUGUUUGAAAUCACUAGAGGAACUUUAAGAAAGAAACUUUCCUUCAAUGCCCUUGGACCUAGUAACUGCAUGAGACAGCAGCUAUGAUGGCCACUUGGCAAAAAUCAGUAUCAUACCUGAGUCUGUCAGAGAAAGCAGGAGGUUUGAACACGGAGCCUCUGUCUGUCCAGAGGUCCUCAUCGCUGAGCUGCAUGAAGGUGUACAGGGUCCCUGUCUGAGUGCUAACCCAGCUGAUAGGAUGGCGCUCCUCCAUCUUGCCUGCCUCCUGCACACCCAGCCUUUGUGCCCAUGCCACCUUCCCCUGCCUGUGCAUACACUCCCUCCUGAAGGCACCUGAUGCCGGGGCAGCCAUGACAUUGCUGACCUGGGGCAUGCUGUCCUGUCACUGUCAUUAGGUAGGGAGGCGAGUAGCUGAGGUUGACAGCAGAAUGUUAGCUUCAAGCUUAUUUUUAGUUGAGUGAUCAAGGUUUCCACUCAGUCAUAAAGUGGAGUUCCUUGUUUGGCUAAUACAGGCAUUGCAUUUUUUAAAAGUAUCUUUUCUUUUAAGAAGAAUGAAGGUGAUUUACUUAUACUGAUUUUAGGUUUUUUUUUUUUAAAGCUACAUAAGUUUAUAUACCAGUAGUUGAACUUCAUUGAAAAAUAAAAUAACUUCAUACAUGGUUUGAAAA
rnacentral:lncRNA from 1 species